AUGUUCUUUUUUUCUUUCUUUCUUUUUUUCUUUCCUCUCUAAUUUGUGUGUCUUUGAUACAGUCAGU
rnacentral:ribozyme from 14 species